AGCUAUUUGUCUAGUGUCACCUCCUUCAUCAACAAAUGUUGAGAAACACCUCACACUAGUCCAGUCUCACUGCUAGGCAUUCAAGUGAACAAAGGUGAAUAAGCCUCAAGGAGUUCAUCAGAGUGUCAGCAGGCAGAGAAAAAUGAGAAGCAAGGUCACCAGCUGAUAAUGAGAAGGAGGAAGGCAUUUCGUAUUUUAAAGAGUGAAGAAAAGUCUGUAAAAAAAAUAAAAGAAGAGAAGGGAAAACAGACACAGACACACAGAGAAGAGGCUAUGUGAAGACAGGCAGAGACUGGAGUGAUGCAGCUACAAGUCAACGAACACCAAGUGUUGCCAGCAGCCACCUGAAGUUAGGAGAAAGUCAUGGAACGGAUUUUCUGACAGAGUCUCCAGAAGGAACCAACCAAACACUUUGAUAUUCUAGCCUUCAGAAUUGUGAGAAAAUAAAGUUCUGUUGUCUU